AUUAGAUCUAGAUCCUUUCGAUCUUGUCUCAUGACCUAGAUCCAUGAAAUAGUAAUACUUUCAUACAGUUGGUAACUUUUUUUUUGUUGAGGGUUUUAAGUUUGUUUUAGGGCUCUACUAUUCGAACGUUACGGUUCCAGUUAAUACGCAAGGAACAUUUAUUAUUUUAUCAAGAUUGGUCAAAUGGUUUUGAUUUCUAUGUGGGAAAUACCUGCAUACAUACGCCUUACUUUCUGCUUUAUAGUACAGAUUUGUGUAAAAGUUAAAAUUUUC